GUCUGUGCCAAGAGGAAGCAAGAUUGAAAAUUCUGCUGCUCCCCAAAUUUGCAUUAUUAAACCCCACCCUGAUAGAAAACAGAAACCUGUAGAAAAUGUUUUGACAGAAUGCAGGAAGAUUUAUGUGAAUGGGGAAGAUGUUGACCAUUUAAAAGCCUUAAAAGGAUUGCCAAUCAGUUACUUGGUGUCAAAUCCCAUGAAGAGGAAAAUGACCCAUUUGGGUGAAGUUGGAAUAGGAAGUGGUCGAAGCACACAUGCAUCCUUCUAUGAACCACAAGUACAAAAGGCAGUGGAUACAAAAUGUGGAGAUCUAAAAUUGCCCUAUAUCUGUCCAGUUUUACUACCAUAUAAAUAUAAACAUUUAUCAGAAUCUCUAGCAAUAGACUUGAACAAAGCUCAUGAAAUUCAAGAGUAAACACAAGAACAAUAUAAUUCACAGAGAUGGCAUUUAGAGAGAAAAACACGACUAACGGCAUCCAAAUUUUACGAAAUUUUACACAGGAAAACUAUUUCUUUGAAGUAUGUCAAAAGUAUUUUAGAACCAAAAGCAUUUAAGUCUACUUCCACGUCAUACGGAAUUUCCAAUGAAAAGAAAGCCAGAGAAAUGUAUGUUAAAAGACAGGGAUUGCAUGUACAUGACUGCGGUCUGUGCAUUAAUCCAGAAUUGCCAUUUCUAGGGGCAACUCCAGAUGGAAUUGUCUGUGAUGGAGGUGUAAGUGGAAUUGUUGAAAUUAAGUGCCCCUACUCUGCUCGAGACUUGACCAUUCAAGAAUCUCUUUCCCUUCCCAAUUUUUGUUUACUUGAAACUGAUGGAAAAAUUACUUUGAAAAAAUCUCACGCCUUCUAUUUCCAAGUUCAAGGACAACUUCUGGUCACCGGUGUUUCUUUUUGUGAUUUCAUUGUAUUUACUCGAAAAGAAUUACAUGUCGAAAG